rnacentral:rRNA from 1 species
AGGGCACCACCAGGAGUGGAGCCUGCGGCUUAAUUUGACUCAACACGGGGAAACUUACCCGGCCUGGACACUGGAAGGAUUGACAGAUUGAGAGCUCUUUCUUGAUUCAGUGGGUGGUGGUGCAUGGCCGUUCUUAGUUGGUGGAGCGAUUUGUCUGGUUAAUUCCGAUAACGAACGAGACUCUAGCCUAUUAAAUAGGCUCUCGGCUUUUAAACGCCGGGAGGACUUCUUAGAGGGACAGGUGGCGGUUCAGCCGCACGAAAGAGAGCAAUAACAGGUCUGUGAUGCCCUUUGUUGCCCGGGGCCGCACGCGCGCUACACUGAAGAGAUCAGCGUGCUUUACGUUCCUGCUCCGACCGGAGUGGGGAACCCAGUGAACCUUCUUCGUGAUUGGGAUAGAAGAUUGUAAUUAUUCUUCUUGAACGAGGAAUUCCCAGUAAAUGCGAGUCAUAAGCUCGCGUUGAUUACGUCCCUGCCCUUUGUACACACCGCCCGUCGCUACUACCGAUUGAACGAUUU